GUGCUCACUUCAGCAGCACAUAGAUUAAAAUAGAAACAAUACAGAGAUGAUUAGCAUGGUUCCUGUGCUUGGAUGACAUACAAAUUCAUGAAACAUUUCAUAUCUGU
ensembl:snRNA U6 U6 spliceosomal RNA